rnacentral:rRNA from 1 species
UACAGAGGUCUCAACCGUUGUUCGGAUUCAUUGGGCGUAAAGGGUGCGUAGGCGGCGGGGUAAGUCAGGUGUGAAAUCUCGGGGCUCAACCCCGAAACUGCACUUGAUACUGCCUCGCUUGAGUACUGGAGAGGAGACUGGAAUUUACGGUGUAGCAGUGAAAUGCGUAGAUAUCGUAAGGAAGACCAGUGGCGAAGGCGAGUCUCUGGACAGAUACUGACGCUGAGAUGCGAAAGCGUGGGAAGCAAACAGG